CUCACCAAAUAUGUGUCAGCUCACGGGCCUGUGGUACUUUGAUGUCCGAAACAACAGCUUGACUGGUUCUAUUCCAGAGAAUAUUGGAAAUUGUACAGCCUUCCAGGUUUUGGAUUUGUCGUAUAAUCAGUUGACUGGUGAGAUUCCCUUCAAUAUCGGUUUCUUGCAAGUGG